rnacentral:rRNA from 1 species
AUGGGUGACUCGCAGAUCGCCGCCGACGCCGGAAGCGACCGCCUGAGCAACCUCCGCGACGGCGUACUCGGUCACAUCCUCUCCUUCCUCGAAACCAGGGAGGCCGCUCGCGCCGCGACGCUCUCGUCGCGGUGGCGCCACGUCAUGGCCAGCGUCCACACCGUCUCCAUGUCCAUGGAGCCGCUGGGACGGCCCGUCUUGGGCUACGGCUACGAUGGCCGGUACGACCGCAACAAGGCGCGGUUCAUCGCCGACGUCACCGCCGCCCUCUUCUCCCGCAACAGUCGCCCGUCCCCCGCCGCCGCCUCGGCGCCCCUGCGCGCGCUCCGCGUAUCCAUGGAAAGAUACUGCCCCGAAGACGGGUCCAAGGUGGACCAGUGGGUCUCCUACGCCCUGUGGCAUGCCGCCCCAGAGUUCGGGCUCGACCUCCGCCUUGGCCGCGGCCCCAUCUGCAGUGGCCCCUGCAGCCUCCACCCCUCCCAUGACGAUGUCGCCGCCGAUGGCCUUGUUGGGAAUCAAGCCGUCGCCGGGAAUCCUCCCAAGUCUGACCCCGACGACAACCGUUCCCUCCGCGCGCACCCCAAAGACGAUGUCCCGUCCAGCGACGAUGAGGAGACGGCAGCUCGAUCGUGGAAUCCGCCGUCUGGAGAGUUCACCUACACCGUCCCGAGGGGACUCUUCUCUUGCGCCGCGCUGCGAUCGCUCCGUCUAGGCUACUGCAGGCUCUCCCCGCCGGCAGCCAUCAGCCUGCCAGCUCUCGAGGCUCUGCACCUCACCCACAUCCUCGAAGACGAGGAGGAGCAUGUGCAGAGGCUGAUCUCCGGCUGUCCGCGCCUGGCCGACCUGACGCUCGAGGCUUGUGGCACGGUGACCGCGGUCUCCCUCCUCGACAACACACACCUCCGCAGGCUCGCCCUCCGGUGCUGCCACAACCUAUCCAGCCUUGCCGUCGACACGCCGGAUCUCCACUCCUUCGAGUACCGUGGCGCCGUCCCCGACACCUCGAUCCUCACCGUGGGCGGCCUUCCGUCCGUCACGUCGUGCAAGGUCGACAUCUGCACGAUCUACCCCCUCGAGGAGGCGGGGGAGCUCGUCAAGCUCGGUUCGUUCCUGCAUCAGCUGGCCUCGACCGCGAAACACCUCCAGUUAUGCUCCGCUCGCAUGGGCUCGUGGUUCGCGGAUCUCCCCGUGCUCCCCGCCCUUCGCCACCUCGAGUUGGCCGGAAGCGUGCCGCGCAACGACGACCCCGCCGUCGUCAUCGCCGCGACGAGCAGCAUCCUCCGGCGAACCCCGAACCUGGAGCUACUGACCCUUUUCUUUGAAGAAGAAGCGCCCCGUGAAACGGAGUGGCAGUGGCACUCAGGACUCGAUCACCACGCCUACGUCGGCCGCCGUAGCGAGGGGGAGCUCCUUGACGCGCACCGUCUCCACUACUGCGAGUACGACAGCCUCGACUGCGCGUUGGCACCCGCGAUGGUGCCGCCAUGCCUGGGGAGCCGGGUGAGGAAGAUCGAGCUGGUGCAUUACCAAGGCGGCAGGGCGCAAAGGACGUUGGCCAGAUUCUUGCUCCGCAACGCUGCCGUUCUUGAGAAUCUCUAUUGCGGGUUCCCGGCGGGGCCGCAUUGGGUUCAAACGGAGUUGAUGCGCGAGAUGGAAGGGUGGGUGGUCAGUGAGCUAACCAGCACAGAGUUCCGUUGA